AAUUGUCGCUGACUCGGCACAGAUACUUCGAUGUGUCAUACGAUCUGCCCGGCUACCGACAACUGGUCACCGAUGGGCUGAACUUCGUCAACGAGCGCAAUGACUCCGCUGCUCUCGCAGCGGAGAUCGUAGACCUCGAGCAGCAGCUUGCGGAGGGCAUGGACGGCACGUCGGGCUGGUUGCCAGAAUCGGCCCAGUUCGAAGUUGUCACACUCGAGGACCUGCAGGCUGCCGAUAACUGGAGCUGGUCGGCGUUCCUGUCGGCCCUGUUCGACGAUGAUCACGCGGUCACGGGCAAUGCAACGGUCAUCGUCAAAUCCCCCAAGUUCCUGGAGAAGCUGAUGAAGAUUCUCGAGACCACCACCAGGUUGGCAUAGACAGGAAUAUUAGCGUGUCUGUCCGUUUAGCUGUACAAAAGAAAGUUAAUUUGGUCAGCUGUGAGCGCACAAGUACUUUGCAGUGCCGCUGGCGCCAUGA
rnacentral:lncRNA from 1 species